AUACGUAGGGGGCAAGCGUUAUCCGGAUUCAUUGGGCGUAAAGCGCGCGUAGGCGGCUUGUUAAGUCAGAUGUGAAAACCGGGGGCUCAACCCGCGGCCCUGCAUCUGAAACUGGCAGGCUUGAGUCUGGUAGAGGAAAGUGGAAUUCCUGGUGUAGCGGUGAAAUGCGCAGAUAUCAGGAGGAACACCAGUGGCGAAGGCGGCUUUCUGGGCCACGACUGACGCUGAGGCGCGAAAGCUAGGGGAGC
rnacentral:rRNA from 1 species